UGAGAAAUAUUGGACAAUGGGCGGGAGCCUGAUCCAGCCAUGCCGCGUGCAGGAUGACGGCCCUAUGGGUUGUAAACUGCUUUUAUACAGGAAUAAACCCCCGGACGUGUCCGGGGCUGAAGGUACUGUAAGAAUAAGGAUCGGCUAACUCCGUGCCAGCAGCCGCGGUAAUACGGAGGAUCCAAGCGUUAUCCGGAUUCAUUGGGUUUAAAGGGUCCGCAGGCGGGUUAUUAAGUCAGUGGUGAAAUCCUGCAGCUUAACUGUAGAACUGCCAUUGAUACUGGUAAUCUUGAGUGUGGUUGAUGUGGGCGGAAUGUGUCAUGUAGCGGUGAAAUGCAUAGAUAUGACACAGAACACCGAUUGCGAAGGCAGCUCACUAAGCCAUUACUGACGCUCAGGGACGAAAGCGUGGGGAGCGAACAGG
rnacentral:rRNA from 1 species